GAAUGCAAACAAAAGCUUAAAAAAAAAAUAAGUAUUUUCCUAUAUCCACAAGUUUCUUCAAAUCAUGUAUUGCCAAACUCACGGUGACAGCAUUUUACCAUGAAUGCAAACAAAAGCUUAAAGAUUUACACUUAUCUAUAACAGAUAAUCACAACAACAACAAAAAAAAGACGAGUAAUCACGGACAGGAUGAUCAAACAGGAUGAAAGUUUUUCGUGCAAAUACUUUCAAAACUAUUAGGCAUUUCCAUAUAAGAGUCAUCUGCAGCAAUUUAAUGUACACAGCUGAUAUAUAAACAUGAGUCACUGAGGCUUGGAGCUUGCUACCCCAAUUCCCUUUCAACUUAAUUUGGAGCAACGCCAGUGUCUCUAAGGUUAUUUAAACUAUCAACAUUGCUUUGCAUUUUAGCCAAAUGCUUCUUCCCAUUUAGGUGAGAGGCCGCAUUGGCCUCACAAUGAAGGACAGAAUUACAGACUAAGCACAUUAUUUGGAAUUAUGUAUCCUAACAGGCUCAGACAGAUUCUUUAGCACCUUAUGAUGCAUCGCUACUG
rnacentral:lncRNA from 1 species